CUCGUCUCCAAAAAGAUCGAGCCCUAUAAGUUUGAGCCCUCACUAUUGUUAGUGAUAAGUUUCACCUCAAUUAAAUAUAAAAAUAGUAAAUAACAUAAGGCUUGGCUCGUCCCAAAAAAUGAGGUUUGGCCUGGGCUUUGGCUGGAGCUGGUUCAUGGACUUUUCGAUUUUUUUAUGGAAAAGUUACAUGUCAACAUGUUUAAAAGUUACAAUUCAUAAAUCAGGUAUGAAGUUUAUUUGUUCAAAUAAUAGGAUUUAAUUAUUCAUAUUAAUAAUAAUAUUAAUAUAAUCUACCCACCCCCAACCCUAAUAUUUCCUCUCUCUUCCUUCUUUGUCUACAUCUCUCUCCCUUCUCUCUUCUUUUUUCUUCUAAAAUAUCAAAUUGUUGUCAGCAACGACUGCAGCAUGACAACAUAGAUCUGCUUGCAGUCGUUCUCAUGUCGUUGUAUUAAGGUGAUGAUGUGCUGCAGUGGUGAGAUGCUGGCGGUGGUGAUGAUUUUGCUUGGGGUGUGGCGGUGGUGGUGUUGAUGCUACUUGUCAUGUUGGAGUCCGACAUGCGAAUCUCAUCAGGGUUGUUGAUUUGAGAUAAGUGGAAAGUGGGUUUAAGAUGGAGUGCGUAGAAAAUCGGGCUCAGUGUGGAGGUAACGCUUGCAUUGUUGAUAUUAAGUUGGUCACUUCCUCGACUGAGGAGAAGUUUUAUGAGUGAUAAGGGUUGGAUGGAGUGCUAGGAGAGAGGUUGUGAUUGAUAGUUCUGGUGGUAGCCUUAAAAGUUUGUGGUGGGAGAUUCUAGUCAUAUGUCUAAUUUUGUGGUGGUUUUGCAAAGAUUUUGUAAUUUUUUGCAAUGGAUUUGGUUAAUUUGUGGUCACAGGGCACAAGUAUUAGGUCAGGGGUCAUAUUUACGAUUGCUAUGGUGUGUGAUGGUCUUGUGGUGGUAGUGAUUUUGUUGGCGAUGAUGUUGUGGCGUUAAUGUGGUUGUG
rnacentral:lncRNA from 1 species